CAGCCGCCACGGGAAUACAUAGGGUGCGAGCGUUAAUCGGAAUUACUGGGCGUAAAGCGUGCGUAGGCGGUUUGUUAAGUCUGUUGUGAAAUCCCCGGGCUCAACCUGGGAAUGGCAAUGGAUACUGGCAAGCUAGAGUGUGUCAGAGGAUGGUGGAAUUCCCGGUGUAGCGGUGAAAUGCGUAGAGAUCGGGAGGAACAUCAGUGGCGAAGGCGGCCAUCUGGGACAACACUGACGCUGAGGCACGAAAGCGUGGGGAGCAAACAGGAUUAGAUACCCCCGUAGUCCCUGUCUCUUAUAC
rnacentral:rRNA from 1 species